GCCCGGCUGGCGUAAUCGGAUAACGCACCAGACUUCUAUAUGGCGCAAUCUGGGGAUUGCGGGUUCGAGUCCCGCGUCGGGUA